rnacentral:rRNA from 1 species
GGGCGAAAGCCUGAUGCAGCCAUGCCGCGUGUAUGAAGAAGGCCUUCGGGUUGUAAAGUACUUUCAGCAGUGAGGAAGGUGGGUAUGUUAAUAGCAUAUUCAUUUGACGUUUAGCUGCAGAAGAAGCACCGGCUAACUCCGUGCCAGCAGCCGCGGUAAUACGGAGGGUGCGAGCGUUAAUCGGAAUUACUGGGCGUAAAGCGCAUGCAGGUGGUUUGUUAAGUCAGAUGUGAAAGCCCGGGGCUCAACCUCGGAAUUGCAUUUGAAACUGGCAAACUAGAGUACUGUAGAGGGGGUAGAAUUUCAGGUGUAGCGGUGAAAUGCGUAGAGAUCUGAAGGAAUACCGGUGGCGAAGGCGGCCCCCUGGACAGAUACUGACACUCAGAUGCGAAAGCGUGGGGAGCAAACAGGAUUAGAUACCCUGGUAG